rnacentral:rRNA from 1 species
UACGUAGGGUGCGAGCGUUGUCCGGAUUUAUUGGGCGUAAAGAGCUCGUAGGCGGCUCGGUAAGUCGGGUGUGAAACCCCCAGGCUCAACCUGGGGACGCCACCCGAUACUGCUGUGGCUAGAGUCCAGUAGGGGAGUGUGGAAUUCCCGGUGUAGCGGUGAAAUGCGCAGAUAUCGGGAGGAACACCAGCGGCGAAGGCGGGUUGCUGGGCUGACACUGACGCUGAUGCGCGAAAGCCAGGGGAGCGAACGGG